rnacentral:lncRNA from 1 species
UAGAGUUGGCUAAAAUCACCCACCAUACCACUGGUCAGUGUAAAAUGAAUGAUUUGUUUCUCUUUUUUUUUCUUGUUUCUCUCCCCGUCGCUCCCUUCCCCACGCCUCUUCCUCUCUCUCGUUCAGUGCAGCAGGGGACCGCCACGGCGGCCUAACCGGUGUGGCCAGCCUACCCACAGGCAAGGUUCGGCACGGUCUCUUGGCCGGCGGGAGGAAGAAGAGAUAUUUUUUCUUUUGCUCAAUAUGUUUUCAUAAUUACAUACAAAUCUAUUUUAGAGUUGGAGCUAUACCAAAUAGUUUUGUGGAAGCUCAGCUCCACCGAAGAGUUGCUCCGUGGUGAAACACCUGUUAGAGCCAUGCUAAAUAGGCCAAUAAAAAAGGAAAAAAAAAAGGUGGGAAAAUAACUCUUAGAAACACCGCCAAACUCGCUUGGGAGCUCCUCAGCCUUUUUCCUUUUCUACAUUGAGCUAGCUCCUCCUUUUUUGUGUGUGAUUUUCUAGAAAAUAUUUCUCGUGUAAAAGCUCUAGUUUGGUUUUCGAUAAACCUAAGGACUAAUCGUUAUGCUAAGUGUGUAUACAUAAAAUGAUAAGUCUUAUGUCAAGUGGUGGAGCUUAAAGGAUCAUGGUGAUGGUAGUGAUGACCUUAAGGUAAUCAAGUGCUCAACUUGUAAGAAAAGAAAAAGAAAAAUAAAAAUCCUAUGGAGC